AGAAUGCAGACACGUGCAGAUACUGAUAAAAAUGUGUUUAUUAUAAAAUAAACAGAUGUAAGACGUAGUCGAUACAGAAAAAUGGGUAAUCACCAAUAACCAGAGCAAUGAAGACAAAACCAUACCAUAAACGAGAGACAGUCCAGAGUUCAUACACGAGAUAUCCAAUGUCAGAGGUAAUCCAAGAGGCAGUAGUGAAAACACAGUCCAGGUAAUACACAAGCAAUCCAAUAUCAGAAGCAAAGGCAAUAAUCGGCGUCGAGAAAACAAAGGCAAGGUCAUACACAAGAUAAACUGAGACAAGAGAUAUAGAACGCUUUGUAAUGAGGAGAACCUACAAUACGCGGCGUGGGUGUUUGUGUGGAGUGCUCUUUUACUGUGCUCUUGCCAGUAAUCAGUAUUCGGGACUUCCUGGAGGAAGCAGGUGAGGUGUCACGUGAUCAGGUGAGUGCGUGAUGUCAGCGGGUGGUGCAUUCUGGGUAGUGUAGUUGUUGACCUGAGAACCUCCGUUAGAGCUGGGUGUGGAAGGGACAAAGGAGCUAACAGCACCAGACGUGACAAGGACAGUGCACAGCUUCAUUGUGAACUACAGACAGUUUUGGUUACAAACAGCAAAAUUACAAAGAUCUACCAGUCCUGUCAUCCCCCUCACCCUGUGAUGUUGUCUGUGUGUGUUUGGGGGUGUACGUGUGUGUGUGUGUGUGUGUGUGUGUCAUGGAAUCCACAAUCUACCUCAGCACAUGAGCUGUAAUAGGAAGGGUGUGGGGAUCUUCCUGUCUCUGUUUCUAUGGAAACACCACCCCCAUCUGCCAACCAGGAGGAGGGACAGAGGUUCCAAAAUGCAAGCUGUCAUGUGUGUUCGGAAUCCCUCCUUCUCACAUCCCAGGACAGACUUUCAGAGGCAGGGCUUGUUUCUCCAUGCAGUCGACUGGAACAGUUCAAGGCUUAAAGGUCCUGGAUGUGCUCUUGCUCUUUC
rnacentral:lncRNA from 1 species